CGGGCCCGCACAAGCAGCGGAGCGUGUGGUUUAAUUCGAUGUUACACGAAGAACCUUACAGGGUUUGACAUGCAAGUGGUAGGAAGCCGAAAGGUGACCGACCCUUCGGGGAGCUUGCACAGGUGCUGCAUGGCUGUCGUCAGCUCGUGUCGUGAGAUGUUCGGUUAAGUCCGCUAACGAGCGCAACCCUCGCUGUGUGUUAUAUGUGUCACACGGGACUGCCGGUCUUAAGCCGGAGGAAGGUGGGGAUGAUGUCAAGUCAGCAUGGCCUUUAUAUCCUGGGCUACACACACGCUACAAUGGCCAACACAAUAGGUUGCUAAGCCGCGAGGUGGCGCCAAUCCAUAAAGUUGGUCUCAGUUCAGAUUGUAGGCUGCAACCCGCCUGCAUGAAGAUGGAGUUGCUAGUAACCGCAGGUCAGCUAUACUGCGGUGAAUACGUUCCCGGGGCUU
rnacentral:rRNA from 1 species